AAAUUGAAGAGUUUGAUCAUGGCUCAGAUUGAACGCUGGCGGCAGGCCUAACACAUGCAAGUCGAACGGUAACAGGAAGCAGCUUGCUGCUUUGCUGACGAGUGGCGGACGGGUGAGUAAUGUCUGGGAAACUGCCUGAUGGAGGGGGAUAACUACUGGAAACGGUAGCUAAUACCGCAUAACGUCGCAAGACCAAAGAGGGGGACCUUA
rnacentral:rRNA from 1 species